rnacentral:rRNA from 1 species
GACGAACGCUGGCGGCGUGCUUAACACAUGCAAGUCUAACGGAAAGGCCCUGCUUUUGUGGGUUGCUCGAGUGGCGAACGGAUGAAUAACACGUGAGUAACCUGCCCUUUACUUUGGGAUAACUUCAGGAAACUGGUGCUAAUACCGGAUAUGAGCUCCUCCUGCAUGGUGGGGGUUGGAAAGUUUAGGCGGUUGGGGAUGUACUCGCGGCUUAUUAGCUUGUUGGUGGGGUAGUGACUUACCAAGGUUUUGACGGGUAGCCGGCCUGAGGGGGUGAGCGGCGACAGUGGGACUAAGGUGAGGCCGAGACUCCUACGGGAGGAAGCAGUGGGGAAUAAUGCACGAUGGGCGGAAGCAUGAUGCAGCAACGACGCGUGCGGGAUGACGGCCUUCGGGUUGUAGAACGCUUUCGCCUGUAACGAAGAGUGAGUGACGGUAAUGGGUAAAGAAGCAACGGCUAAAUACGUG